GUAAAAAUGCCUGUCCAACACACAUGAUUGUCAGAAAAAACUACAAACGUUCUACCACCACAUGAACAAAGGUCAAUGUGCAUCGUCUAUGGGGACACACUAAAACUACAGGAAAAAUAUAACAUUACUAAUGUAGUAGAGUGGUAAAUGGCGAGCCAAUUUCCUCUGUGUCUAAAAUACUUAGGCUACAACUUGCAAAUUUAUUAGUUACAGUAAUGAUGUAUUUUAAUUAUUUUCCUUCUGUGACUAUUAUAUAUUUUGUAAUAAGUGUAACUGUUAAUGUACUGCUACUUUAAAUGUUGUUGUGUUUAACCAGUAGAGGGCAGUGUGGCUAGAGUUAUAGCUGGACAUUUUAUUUUGAAAAGACGCAAAGCAGUCGUCUUCCUGUUUAGCUGUGUGCUCCGCGGUUGUUUCAUCUGUAUGAUAGACAAAAUAUCCACGAAGUUUUAAGAGGAUGGAAACGUGCGUCGUGGUAGUGAGGAAGCCAUGACAGAGGCGUAGCUUGUGAGAAAACGGCGCGGUCCUGAGUGCAAAACAGCUGAAAACUCUAUCAAGAUGAGAAGCCAGAAGAACGUGAAAAAGUCCGCCGAACAAGAAUACAAAUGGGCAGAAUCGAGAAAAUCCACCUAAAGAUCAGGGGUGUAUGCAAAUACAAAUAAACUGCACACACACGGAUGGAGGAAACGUGCCGACAUGGGCCGGCCCCGUGACCGGUGGGGUGAGUGCAGGAGGAGCAGGCACCUCCUUUCUUCAGCAGCGUUAUUUUCAGUUCAUCACUCUCAAUAAUUCAUCCUCUCAGCCAGAGAAGGAACAGAGAGCUCCUUCCCUCUUUACGCUGUCGGUCACACUCUCUUCGCAAGAGGUACCUGUCAAGUGGAGAGCCGUAUUCUUGUUGUCUUUAAUUUACCAACUUUGUCAAACAAAAUAAAAGCAUAACAACUGA